rnacentral:rRNA from 1 species
UACGUAGGGGGCAAGCGUUGUCCGGAAUCAUUGGGCGUAAAGAGCGUGUAGGCGGCCCGAUAAGUCCGCUGUGAAAGUCCAGGGCUCAACCCUGGGAUGCCGGUGGAUACUGUCGGGCUCGAGUCCGGAAGAGGCGAGUGGAAUUCCUGGUGUAGCGGUGAAAUGCGCAGAUAUCAGGAGGAACACCAAUGGCGAAGGCAGCUCGCUGGGACGUGACUGACGCUGAGACGCGAGAGCGUGGGGAGCAAACAGG